rnacentral:rRNA from 1 species
AGUCGACGGACUGGUCAAUUUAUUGAACAGUUAGUGGCGAAAGGGUUAGUAACGGAUAGGUAACAUACCCUGUGCUUCGGGAUAGCGUCAGUUCCUUAGGGGACUUUCCGAAAGGGGCGGUAAUACCGGAUAAUAUCAUUUGUCGAUAGGCAGAUGAUCAAAGAUUUAUCGGCAUAGGAGUGGCCUGUCUCCUAUCAGCUUGUUGGUGAGGUAACGGCUCACCAAGGCAGCGACGGGUAGCGGGACUGAGAGGUUGGCCCGCAACAUCGGGACUGAGACACUGCCCGGACCUCCACGGAGGGCUGCAGUAACGGAUAUUGUGCAAUGGGCGAAAGCCUGACACAGCGACGCCGCGUGUAGGAGGAAGUCUUUCGGGAUGUAAACUACUGUCAGGGGGAAGAAAGUGCGCUUCGGCGUAUUGAUCUAACCCAGAGGAAGUCACGGCUAACUUCGUGCCAGCAGCCGCGGUAAGACGAAGGUGGCAAGCGUUGUUCGGUAUUACUGGGCUUAAAGCGUGUGUAGGCGGAAAAGUAAGCGUCUUGUGAAAGCCCCCGGCUUAACCGGGGAAUUGCGUGACGAACUGCUUUUCUUGAGGC